rnacentral:piRNA from 1 species
UGUGAACUACUGCUUUAUCCACUGGGGAUGU